UGCGCUUCGUGGAGGCCUGGAGGGCCCUGCCAGGGUUCGGGCUGGGGCACUUCGUGGUGAGGUUCCAGGGUGCCAGGCGUGAUGAGAUUUUGGCUGUGGGCCCCUCACAGCUGCUCCGGAUCGAUCCUGGCUCUGGCGCCGUCACCCGCAGCUGGAGGCACAGCGACCUGCGCCAGUGGGACAUCAACUGGGACAGCCAGCAGGUGCGGCUGUGGCUGACUGGGGACGUGACGCUGGGGCUGCGGGUGCUCUCGGCAGCCCCCCGGGUGCUGCACCAGUUCCUGGGGGGGUAUCUGGUACUAGGGGGGCAGCGGCCAGGGCAGCCCCCAGACCCUGAUGUGCUGAGGCGCCUGAUGGAAGGGGGGGAUGACCCCUAACGCCCCCAAGCCCCAUGCAAGAGUGGCCUCAUGCAAAUGCCCCCACCCCACUGUUGGCACCAGCCUCAACUCCCCCAGUCCCUGUUCCUCCCACAGCACUUGUGCACCCUCCCUCCCUCCUCCUGCUGUGCAAGGCACUUGUGCAAGGCUUGUGCAACACCGGUGUGAUGGAGCUGAAGUGCUUACUGUGCUCAACAGAAUGGUGG